rnacentral:rRNA from 1 species
UGGGGAAUAUUGCACAAUGGGCGCAAGCCUGAUGCAGCGACGCCGCGUGGGGGAUGACGGCCUUCGGGUUGUAAACCUCUUUCAGCAGGGACGAAGCGAAAGUGACGGUACCUGCAGAAGAAGCACCGGCCAACUACGUGCCAGCAGCCGCGGUAAUACGUAGGGUGCGAGCGUUGUCCGGAAUUACUGGGCGUAAAGAGCUCGUAGGUGGUUUGUCGCGUUGUUCGUGAAAACCGGGGGGCUUAACCCUCGGCAUGCGGGCGAUACGGGCAGACUAGAGUACUGCAGGGGAGACUGGAAUUCCUGGUGUAGCGGUGGAAUGCGCAGAUAUCAGGAGGAACACCGGUGGCGAAGGCGGGUCUCUGGGCAGUAACUGACGCUGAGGAGCGAAAGCGUGGGGAGCGAACAGGAUUAGAUACCCUGGUAGUCCACGCCGUAAACGGUGGGUACUAGGUGUGGGUUUCCUUCCUUGGGAUCCGUGCCGUAGCUAACGCAUUAAGUACCCCGCCUGGGGAGUACGGCCGCAAGGCUAAAACUCAAAGGAAUUGAC